UCAUACAUGUCAGAACCAGAUGAAAGA
rnacentral:sRNA from 1 species